AUUCUGCCGUGAUGAAUUUAGAAUCAAUUCACAUGUCAGACUUCAGAGAUUUUCAAAAUCAAUGAGAAUGACAAUUCUAAAUUUGCUGAGCAGAAU